rnacentral:rRNA from 1 species
UACGGGGGGGGCAAGCGUUGUUCGGAAUUACUGGGCGUAAAGGGCUCGUAGGCGGCCAACUAAGUCAGACGUGAAGUCCCUCGGCUUAACCGGGGAACUGCGUCUGAUACUGGAUGGCUUGAGAUUGGGAGAGGGAUGCGGAAUUCCAGGUGUAGCGGUGAAAUGCGCAGAUAUCAGGAGGAACACCGGUGGCGAAGGCGGGUCUCUGGACCGAUACUGACGCUGAGGAGCGAGAGCGUGGGGAGCGAACAGG